rnacentral:rRNA from 1 species
UACGUAGGGUCCGAGCGUUGUCCGGAAUUAUUGGGCGUAAAGAGCUCGUAGGCGGUCUGUUGCGUCGGUUGUGAAAACCUGGGGCUCAACUCCAGGCCUGCAUUCGAUACGGGCAGACUAGAGUUCGGUAGGGGAGACUGGAAUUCCUGGUGUAGCGGUGAAAUGCGCAGAUAUCAGGAGGAACACCGGUGGCGAAGGCGGGUCUCUGGGCCGAAACUGACGCUGAGGAGCGAAAGCGUGGGGAGCGAACAGG